rnacentral:rRNA from 1 species
AUUGAACGCUGGCGGCAGGCCUAACACAUGCAAGUCGAGCGGUAGAGAGGUGCUUGCAUCUCUUGAGAGCGGCGGACGGGUGAGUAAUGCCUAGGAAUCUGCCCUAGUGGUGGGGGAUAACGUUCGGAAACGGACGCUAAUACCGCAUACGUCCUACGGGAGAAAGCGGGGGAUCUUCGGACCUCGCGCCAUUAGAUGAGCCUAGGUCGGAUUAGCUAGUUGGUGAGGUAAUGGCUCACCAAGGCGACGAUCCGUAACUGGUCUGAGAGGAUGACCAGUCACACUGGAACUGAGACACGGUCCAGACUCCUACGGGAGGCAGCAGUGGGGAAUAUUGGACAAUGGGCGAAAGCCUGAUCCAGCCAUGCCGCGUGUGUGAAGAAGGUCUUCGGAUUGUAAAGCACUUUAAGUUGGGAGGAAGGGUAGUAACCUAAUACGUUGCUACUUUGACGUUACCGACAGAAUAAGC